rnacentral:lncRNA from 1 species
UCAGGUAAGAAUCGACUUCCAGUUCGAUCCAAUUAUUAUCACUAACAGUGACUGUGAGUUGGUUUAGCCAUUCCAGGAACUAUGUAGUUUGGUAAGGAUUUUUAACUUUUCCCAACAAGUUAUAACUUAAUCCAGCUGAAGUUCAACAAAGAAUAGUGACUGGAGUACAGGCGUAGAUAACAUUGGUAUUAUUUGUACAAUUUCAUUGACGUAUCAAAUAUGUGGGAAAAUCUAAUUACAUAUAUUAUCUAAUAAUUUCUCUAUGCAAUUUUUCUACAACACGAAUUAGAACAAGCAAUUCAACCAAAAA